GGGUUGUGAGGUUAAGCGACUAAGCGUACACGGUGGAUGCCCUGGCAGUCAGAGGCGAUGAAGGGCGUGCUAAUCUGCGAUAAGCGCCGGUAAGGUGAUAUGAACCGUUAUAACCGGCGAUACCCGAAUGGGGAAACCCAGUGUGAUUCGUCACACUAUCAUUAACUGAAUCCAUAGGUUAAUGAGGCGAACCGGGGGAACUGAAACAUCUAAGUACCCCGAGGAAAAGAAAUCAACCGAGAUUCCCCCAGUAGCGGCGAGCGAACGGGGAGGAGCCCAGAGCCUGAAUCAGCAUGUGUGUUAGUGGAAGCGUCUGGAAAGGCGCGCGAUACAGGGUGACAGCCCCGUACACAAAAGCGCAUGUGCUGUGAGCUCGAUGAGUAGGGCGGGACACGUGGUAUCCUGUCUGAAUAUGGGGGGACCAUCCUCCAAGGCUAAAUACUCCUGACUGACCGAUAGUGAACCAGUACCGUGAGGGAAAGGCGAAAAGAACCCCGGCGAGGGGAGUGAAAAAGAACCUGAAACCGUGUACGUACAAGCAGUGGGAGCACAGGUUUACCUGUGUGACUGCGUACCUUUUGUAUAAUGGGUCAGCGACUUAUAUUCUGUAGCAAGGUUAACCGAAUAGGGGAGCCGGAGGGAAACCGAGUCUUAAUUGGGCGUUAAGUUGCAGGGUAUAGACCCGAAACCCGGUGAUCUAGCCAUGGGCAGGUUGAAGGUUGGGUAACACUAACUGGAGGACCGAACCGACUAAUGUUGAAAAAUUAGCGGAUGACCUGUGGCUGGGGGUGAAAGGCCAAUCAAACCGGGAGAUAGCUGGUUCUCCCCGAAAGCUAUUUAGGUAGCGCCUCGUGAAUUCAUCUCCGGGGGUAGAGCACUGUUUCGGCUAGGGGGCCAUCCCGGCUUACCAACCCGAUGCAAACUGCGAAUACCGGAGAAUGUUAUCACGGGAGACACACGGCGGGUGCUAACGUCCGUCGUGAAGAGGGAAACAACCCAGACCGCCAGCUAAGGUCCCAAAGUCAUGGUUAAGUGGGAAACGAUGUGGGAAGGCCCAGACAGCCAGGAUGUUGGCUUAGAAGCAGCCAUCAUUUAAAGAAAGCGUAAUAGCUCACUGGUCGAGUCGGCCUGCGCGGAAGAUGUAACGGGGCUAAACCAUGCACCGAAGCUGCGGCAGCGACGCUUAUGCGUUGUUGGGUAGGGGAGCGUUCUGUAAGCCUGUGAAGGUGUGUCGUGAGGCAUGCUGGAGGUAUCAGAAGUGCGAAUGCUGACAUAAGUAACGAUAAAGCGGGUGAAAAGCCCGCUCGCCGGAAGACCAAGGGUUCCUGUCCAACGUUAAUCGGGGCAGGGUGAGUCGACCCCUAAGGCGAGGCCGAAAGGCGUAGUCGAUGGGAAACGGGUUAAUAUUCCCGUACUUGGUGUUACUGCGAAGGGGGGACGGAGAAGGCUAUGUUGGCCGGGCGACGGUUGUCCCGGUUUAAGCGUGUAGGUGUGUGUUCCAGGUAAAUCCGGUUCACUUUAACACUGAGGCGUGAUGACGAGGCACUACGGUGCUGAAGUAACAAAUGCCCUGCUUCCAGGAAAAGCCUCUAAGCAUCAGGUAACAUCAAAUCGUACCCCAAACCGACACAGGUGGUCAGGUAGAGAAUACCAAGGCGCUUGAGAGAACUCGGGUGAAGGAACUAGGCAAAAUGGUGCCGUAACUUCGGGAGAAGGCACGCUGACACGUAGGUGAAGUGAUUUACUCAUGGAGCUGAAGUCAGUCGAAGAUACCAGCUGGCUGCAACUGUUUAUUAAAAACACAGCACUGUGCAAACACGAAAGUGGACGUAUACGGUGUGACGCCUGCCCGGUGCCGGAAGGUUAAUUGAUGGGGUCAGCGCAAGCGAAGCUCCUGAUCGAAGCCCCGGUAAACGGCGGCCGUAACUAUAACGGUCCUAAGGUAGCGAAAUUCCUUGUCGGGUAAGUUCCGACCUGCACGAAUGGCGUAAUGAUGGCCAGGCUGUCUCCACCCGAGACUCAGUGAAAUUGAACUCGCUGUGAAGAUGCAGUGUACCCGCGGCAAGACGGAAAGACCCCGUGAACCUUUACUAUAGCUUGACACUGAACAUUGAGCCUUGAUGUGUAGGAUAGGUGGGAGGCUUUGAAGUGUGGACGC
rnacentral:rRNA from 1 species